UUUUGUUGAGUUCAAAUCCAUCGCCGGACAAUGGUCAAGAUCGGAUCUCUUCCUCUCUCUCUCAACCUGCUGCCGCUGUCGCCCGUUGCUUAGCCACGUCGUCGCUGCUCACAACAUUCCGAUUUCAAGUACUGCCCCAAGCCCUAAACGAUUUCAUUGGUAUUACUUGUAUCACUAUUCUGUUCUUUCAUGCUAAUUAGGAAGAAAAUUCCACAGCUAAAGCACUAUUCUGUUAAGAAACGAAGUCUCCAUGAUUGACUUCUCUGUUAAUUUAUACACGCAAUAAACAAAGAAGGAAUAUUUUUAUGUUAAUUUAUAGAAAGCAGGAUCAUUUUGUCAAUGUGAUAAAACCAUGCCCCCAAGGCUAGUUCGGCUCCCACAUUAAUCAUUUUGAAGUCCAUACUUAUCAAAAUACAAAUUUGACAAGUGUUUAUUAUGCUGUUAGUAGAUAUAACAUAACAUUCAGUUUUAAUUUUCUUUAAUAAAAAAAUGUGGAUUAAAGUACUGAAAGAAUGAUAUGUACAACAAAAAUCCUCAAUAGACACAAAUUUGGUAAAAGAUAUAGGUUAAAAUCACCAAAUUUGUGGGCUUACUUUAAAAUUCUCCAUGAAAAGUAAAAUCCUGAAUGGCAUACUCUGGGCCAAAUUUGGUAAUAGACACAAAUUUAUAGCCAACUUUAUUAUUCUUACUUUUCAAAACAUAAAAGUCUCUACCGCAAUAAAAGGCCUUAUGACUGAAGCCAACAUCAUGGGAUGAAUUUAGGAGCGAACAAUUAAAUUCAUCGUCUUUGAAACGACAAUUAAUUAUUAUUAUUGUUAUUUUUUCGUAUUGUAGAUUCUUGCAACUACUUUACCCUUGUGAAACAUAUAGUUAUUUUAAGAAGAUUCAAUGGUGUUGUUAUUAUUGAUAUCUUUCUUGCUUUUACAUGGUUUUUGCUUGGAUAUGACUAAUGACAUAUAUUUGUAAUCUUUAUGUUUUUAAAUAUUUGUUUAUAGUACAAAUGAUGAUCAAAUGAAGUUGUCUGUAAUAGCUAAUCUCUUAAGGGCAGCAACAAGUAACUUGUAUAGAUAUUCUAUAUUUAGAGCAAAGGGCAUAACUGACAAUUUUUCAAAGUAUGAUGUAUUAUAGGAAAAGAACUUAAAAUUAGGAUGUUUAAUAGAAAAAAAAUUGAAAGUAGGGUGCUAUAUUACACACUUUUUGGAGAGUAGGUUGUUCUAUCUUGACGAGGAUAUGGAGUUAAAUACUUGCAUGUUAUUUUCUUAGAUUAAUAUUUUCAUUUCUAGAAGUAAGGUUAGUAUGUUUGUUUCCUAAUCUUUUAUUAUUCCCUGAUUACACCUAGUUUUUGAUACUUGUGUGCAGUAAUAAAAUGAGCAAUAGAAAUAGAUAUUGGAUGUAUGAACGACUUGAUGAUCGUGGUCAUGUCUCUCAUGUUUUCAUUAAUGGUGUGAAAACAUUCAUCGAGUUUGCUUCUACUAAGCAAAGUUAUAUGGAUGGAGAUAAAAUUAAAUGCCCAUGCACAAAAUGCAAUAACAAAGCAUAUAAAGCAGUUGAUGAGGCAAAAUAUCACUUAUACAAGUUUGGUUUUGUUCCAAAUUAUGGGUUACAUAUAAUUAUCGGAGGGAGAAUAUCUGUAAAGUCACUAUUAUGCAGGGACCAUUUAUGUAACUUUUAUAAGCACAUGGGUCAUUUCUGUAAAUUCUCUAAAAGGCAUGGACCAAAGUUAUAUUGUAUUGGUAAAAUGACCGAAUGAAUAAUGAUCAUUUUCACCAGUGUUGUUGGUUGAUUAAUAUUGUCCAACUAUAAAAAGGUGGAACAAAAGACGUAAAUGCCCUUUUGAUUCAACACAACAUGAAAUUAGUGUUUGUAGUAACUAAACUGUAAAUGUUUGCUAUCAUUAACUAAAAGUAUAUAUUUACAGGUUUUGAAAUGUGUCAAAGGAAUGCAAUCCGUCAAAGGAAUGAAAUCGGUCAAAGGAAUUGAAAUUUGAAGAAAUUGAAACGUGUCACGUGUUUGGUUAGAAGAGUUUGUAAGGAGAAUGGAAUUGAAUUCAACUCCGUUCGUUUACAUGUAAAU
rnacentral:lncRNA from 1 species